rnacentral:rRNA from 1 species
GGCGGCAUGCCUUACACAUGCAAGUCGAACGGUAACAGGUCUUCGGAUGCUGACGAGUGGCGAACGGGUGAGUAAUACAUCGGAACGUGCCCGAUCGUGGGGGAUAACGAAGCGAAAGCUUUGCUAAUACCGCAUAAGAUCUAAGGAUGAAAGCAGGGGACCGCAAGGCCUUGCGCGAACGGAGCGGCCGAUGGCAGAUUAGGUAGUUGGUGGGAUAAAAGCUUACCAAGCCGACGAUCUGUAGCUGGUCUGAGAGGACGACCAGCCACACUGGGACUGAGACACGGCCCAGACUCCUACGGGAGGCAGCAGUGGGGAAUUUUGGACAAUGGGCGAAAGCCUGAUCCAGCCAUGCCGCGUGCAGGAUGAAGGCCUUCGGGUUGUAAACUGCUUUUGUACGGAACGAAAAGACUCUUUCUAAUAAAGAGGGUUCAUGACGGUACCGUAAGAAUAAGCACCGGCUAACUACGUGCCAGCAGCCGCGGUAAUACGUAGGGUGCAAGCGUUAAUCGGAAUUACUGGGCGUAAAGCGUGCGCAGGCGGUUAUAUAAGACAGAUGUGAAAUCCCCGGGCUCAACCUGGGAACUGCAUUUGUGACUGUAUAGCUAGAGUACGGCAGAGGGGGAUGGAAUUCCGCGUGUAGCAGUGAAAUGCGUAGAUAUGCGGAGGAACACCGAUGGCGAAGGCAAUCCCCUGGGCCUGUACUGACGCUCAUGCACGAAAGCGUGGGGAGCAAACAAGAUUAGAUACCCUGGUAGUCCACGCCCUAAACGAUGUCAACUGGUUGUUGGGUCUUCACUGACUCAGUAACGAAGCUAACG